rnacentral:rRNA from 1 species
UACGUAGGCAGCGAGCGUUGUUCGGAGUUACUGGGCGUAAAGAGUAUGUAGGCGGUUCUCCAAGUCUGGUGUGAAAUCUCCCGGCUCAACCGGGAGGGUGCAUUGGAAACUGGGGGGCUGGAGUGCGGGAGAGGGAAGCGGAAUUCCUGGUGUAGCGGUGAAAUGCGUAGAUAUCAGGAGGAACACCCGCGGUGUAGACGGCUUCCUGGACCGUAACUGACGCUGAGAUACGAAAGCGUGGGGAGCAAAC